GACGAACGCUGGCGGCGUGCUUAACACAUGCAAGUCGAACGGGAUCCGGGCUUUCGGGUUUGGUGAGAGUGGCGAACGGGUGAGUAACACGUGAGUAACCUGCCCCCUUCUUUGGGAUAACGUCGGGAAAUCGGCGCUAAUACUGGAUAUUCUUGCUGCAUCGCAUGGUGUGGUUUGGAAAGGGUUUCUGGUGGGGGAUGGGCUCGCGGCCUAUCAGCUUGUUGGUGGGGUGAUGGCCUACCAAGGCUUUGACGGGUAGCCGGCCUGAGAGGGUGUCCGGCCACACUGGGACGGAGACACGGCCCAGACUCCUACGGGAGGCAGCAGUGGGGAAUAUUGCACAAUGGGCGCAAGCCUGAUGCAGCGACGCCGCGUGAGGGAUGACGGCCUUCGGGUUGUAAACCUCUUUCAGUAUGGAACAAGGAUCCUUCUUUUGGGGGGUUUGAGGGUACGUGCAGAAGAAGCGCCGGCUAACUACGUG
rnacentral:rRNA from 1 species